rnacentral:lncRNA from 1 species
AAAGAAGGCAGUCAAUAAAUGAUACUUACUUUUUAUUUUUGUUCUUGAAUCUUUUAUCUUUCUUCAUUCGAAUGCAGAAUUGAUUUUUUGGCAUAAUCCAGACGACUAGUCAAGUACGCUUCUUGUCCUUCAUGCAGGAGCAAGUGGAGAGAGGAAGUGAGCGGGGAGAGAAAGUUUGACACAAUGAAGGGAAAGGCAAAGGUUCCAACUUCCCAACAUGUUCCUGCAAGCAAAGAUCUGAAUGAGGAAGCUAGUGCAGAAAAAGCUCUUCCAGCCGUAUCAAGGGAAUUAAAUCGAAUUGCAGAAUUAGCUAGUCUCAAGAAUACAGUGCCAUUAAAUACUUUUUGCUGUUUUAUAAAUUUUUCUUCAAAUUCCAGUUAGUUAACAUACAAUAUAAUGUUAGUUUCAGG